CACAAACGAAGGAGAAGAACAGAGAAGGGAAGCAAAACAAAACUGAAAAGGAAGGAAGAAGCCAUCCACAGCAAGAAGGAAGGCGCCCCACCUCUCAUCAUCCGGAAUCUUCGAAGCUUCUUUGCUGGGUAAGAACCAGCAACUCUCCUUCUUCCUCUUCUUCAGAUUCAAAUUCUGUUCUUCUCUUUUAUUCCACCUCUGCCAUUCUAAUUCCAAUUCUUGCUAGAAUAGUAGUGACCGUAAGCAAGAAAUCUUCCCUAGUUCGAGUUGAGAUCGGCCAUUCGUUCUUGGAAGAGAGGCCAAAGCUCCAAUUCCGUACAGUUAGGGUUCUGAUUCCAUAAAGAAGUAAAAAUAGAAUUUCCAACAUCAAAAGAGGUAAGGGUUAGAAUUAUGGGUAAUCGUUAAUCGAUAGACACAAUUUCUGAUCUAAGGUGAUAAGUUGAUAAGAUUGUUGUUGCUGAAAUUCUGUUAAUUGGUUGGUUUAUUAUUGUUAGAAGAAGUGUAGAUUUCUAAUGCUUUAAAGUGUGCUUGUACGAUAUAAAUCAUGGUGAUUUUUGAUAGGUACAUGAAACUGAGGUUUUCGGGUAGGGUUAUGAUAUCAUUUAAGUAGAUAUGGUGAUGAAUAAGAGGAAUGGUGGAUUAGUAUAAGUUGGAAACCAAGAGGACUAAAUUUAGUUAGCGAAAAAAAUUGAGAAGUCUUGUUGCAGAAAUUUUUAAACAGUUUGGACAGCAACUUAAAGCGAAAACUGAGAAUAAUAUGGACAUGAUUUUCGAACCAACCCAUUUUUUUAACAAAUUCCUAUAAGUCAAGAUUACCCUAUAAAAAUUUUCAGGGAAUUUGGCCUAGUGGUUUGGAAGAUAUGAAUUUUUUAAGUUUAGAAGUUGCUGCAGAAUUUUCUUGUUUUCUGGUUCUGCAGUACCAACUUCCAGAUGCUAUAACUUUUUAUUUCAACGGAAUUUUGAGUUGCUUCCAAAAUAUUUUUAAAGAUUUAUCAGUCUAUUUUAAUUGAGUACAAGUUUCAUGUCCAUAUCUAUUUUGUAGACUUAAAUAAGUCACUUGGAAGAUGGGUUGUUUACUAAAAACUCUGAACUGAUUUAUGAAAACAGGGCACUACUUCCAAUAGCUAAUUAAUUAAUAAAAUGAAGUGAUAUGAACCUGAAAUUUGUGGAUUCUGAAACUUAGGGGUGUUGAUUGUAAUCUCACCAAUAAAAAUACUGCUGCUGUCUGUUCUUUUCUGAAUCUUUGUAAAUGCAGUAGCAGAAUUCUAAAACUUGUAUAAAAUUCAAUUCUAAUCCAAAUUCAGCAAAACUUAACUCAAAAUAAAGAUUAGGACCUCUAGAAUUAUCUUACCAAGAGAAAUAGGUCGUGAAUAAGUAUUCACAACAUAAGAACUACAUAGCAAACAGCAAGGUGCUGCCCCAAAAAUCUAAGGACAACAAUCUUGGGUUUUCUUUAAUAUUUAGUGUCAAAAUGUCCAGAAAAAUAUGAUUUCUAAACUUUUAGAAACUUGAGUUCAAUACGAACAUGUGGACAUAAAGUUUGCUCGAAUCCAAGUCCGUUUGUUACAUUACCUGUUAAAUAGAAAAUUGGUCGCCAAGAAGGUUUUAGACUAAACAAGCCUAGGAAAUGAAUAAGGAUGUAAGUUGCCUCUAGGAAGGUUUCAAAUUAAAAGGUGAUGCAGAGGUAUGCUUAGUAACAUGGUGAUGCGGAGGUAUGCUUAGUAACAUGGUGAUACGGAGGUAUGCUUAGUAAUAUGGUUAUGCGGAGGUAUGCAUAUUUAUAAGGUGAUGUGGAGGCAUGAUGAAAAGAAAGAAAAUGAAACGACCAUGAAUGGAUAAUGAUUCAUGAGAAUUGUUUGUUUGAAUGGGCCUUUGCGCCAAAGUGCUAAUGCGGGAAUGUCCGCCUAACUGAUAGCAUAAUUUUAUAUUGAAUGGGCCUUGUGCCAACUUGCUAAUGCGAAAGUGCCCGCCUAAUUGAUAGCCUGAGAUUGCUAAUGCGGGAAUGUUCGCCUAACUGAUAGCACCGUUCCUUACUGUGAUGCACAUUGAAAUGUUAUUAUAAUGAGACCUAAUUGACACAGUUAACCGUGAUACCAAGGUGUCUAAUUGACAUAGUAAAGGGACCAUAUUCGGUGUUCAUUCUGAGUAACGUCGGGUUGCGGAUAGACAACCGACGCAUGAGCUCAUGGCCUGCUCUAGGAACAUGCAUGCAUCAUCUUUUUUGUGCAUAGGUAUUUCUUGUGAAUUAUUCACUGCUAUUUUCCUGUUUGUCUAUGCUAUAUACUUGUUAUAUGUAUAUUUGUGCCUUGAGUCUCUGUGCUUGUUCUUUUUUUCUGCUUCACGACAACUUAGAGACAAAGACUCUAGGUUCUCCUUUUACCUUGUUGAGAACUCUAGGUUCUCACCCUUCUUCUCUUUCUUUCUCCCCCUUCACAGAUAGGUUUGGUAGAGGAGUCCGUUGAGUUUCGGGUUUCGGUUCAUCAUCCACAUUUCGACCCCGGCAUGUCAUACAUAUUCACUCUAGCUGGAGGCCAUUCCGGAGCUUGACCUAGUUGACUUUUUACUCCUUUUGAUGAUCAAUAAUAUUAUUUUCCCCUCGCUUUUGUAGUACUUUUAGAGGUGUAGGACAUCUUAGUCGUUCGGUUCCAGUUUAGGAAACCCGUGUGAGGGUUGGGACUGACUUCUUCUUUUGUAUCUGUACAUAUAACUUGGUGUGAUACUCGGCUUUUUAUAGAUGGC
rnacentral:lncRNA from 1 species